AUACGGAAGGUCCGGGCGUUAUCCGGAUUUAUUGGGUUUAAAGGGAGCGCAGGCGGAGAUGCAAGCGUGACGUCAAAUUUCGGGGCUCAACCCCGUCUCGCGUCGCGAACUGCGUCCCUUGGUUGCGGGAAGGGGAGGCGGAACUCGUGGUGUAGCGGUGAAAUGCAUAGAUAUCACGAAGAACUCCGAUCGCGAAGGCAGCCUUCCGGCCCGUCAACGACGCUCAUGCUCGAAGGUGCGGGUAUCAAACAGGAUUAGAUACCCUGGUAGUCCGCACAGUAAACGAUGGACACCCGCGGUCUGGCCUGUAUGGCUGAGCCGCCAAGCGAAAGCGUUAAGUGUCCCACCUGGGGAGUACGCCGGCAACGGUGAAACUCAAAUGAAUUGACGGGG
rnacentral:rRNA from 1 species